AAAUUGAAGAGUUUGAUCAUGGCUCAGAUUGAACGCUGGCGGCAGGCCUAACACAUGCAAGUCGAACGGUAACAGAAAU
rnacentral:rRNA from 1 species